rnacentral:rRNA from 1 species
UACGUAGGGGGCAAGCGUUGUCCGGAAUUAUUGGGCGUAAAGAGCGCGUAGGCGGUCCGUUAAGUCGGCUGUGAAAGUCAUGGGCUCAACCCAUGAAAGCCGGCCGAUACUGUCGGACUAGAGUCCGGAAGAGGCGAGUGGAAUUCCCGGUGUAGCGGUGAAAUGCGCAGAUAUCGGGAGGAACACCAAUGGCGAAGGCAGCUCGCUGGGACGGUACUGACGCUGAGGCGCGAAAGCGUGGGGAGCAAACAGG